UGGGGAAUUUUGGACAAUGGGCGAAAGCCUGAUCCAGCAAUGCCGCGUGUGUGAAGAAGGCCUUCGGGUUGUAAAGCACUUUUGUCCGGAAAGAAAUCCUUGGCUCUAAUACAGUCGGGGGAUGACGGUACCGGAAGAAUAAGCACCGGCUAACUACGUGCCAGCAGCCGCGGUAAUACGUAGGGUGCAAGCGUUAAUCGGAAUUACUGGGCGUAAAGCGUGCGCAGGCGGUUUGCUAAGACCGAUGUGAAAUCCCCGGGCUCAACCUGGGAACUGCAUUGGUGACUGGCAGGCUAGAGUAUGGCAGAGGGGGGUAGAAUUCCACGUGUAGCAGUGAAAUGCGUAGAGAUGUGGAGGAAUACCGAUGGCGAAGGCAGCCCCCUGGGCCAAUACUGACGCUCAUGCACGAAAGCGUGGGGAGCAAACAGGAUUAGAUACCCUGGUAGUCCACGCCCUAAACGAUGUCAACUAGUUGUCGGGGAUUCAUUUCCUUAGUAACGUAGCUAACGCGUGAAGUUGACCGCCUGGGGAGUACGGUCGCAAGAUUAAAACUCAAAGGAAUUGACGGGGUCAUAGCUGUUUCCU
rnacentral:rRNA from 1 species